UACGUAGGGGGCAAGCGUUGGUCCGGAAUCAUUGGGCGUAAAGCGCGCGUAGGCGGCCCGAUAAGUCCGCUGUAAAAGUCCAGGGCUCAACCCUGGAAAGCCGGUGGAUACUGUCGGGCUAGAGUCCGGAAGAGGCGAGUGGAAUUCCUGGUGUAGCGGUGGAAUGCGCAGAUAUCAGGAGGAACACCGAUGGCGAAGGCAGGUCUCUGGGCCAUAACUGACGCUGAGAAGCGAAAGCAUGGGGAGCGAACAGG
rnacentral:rRNA from 1 species